UAAGCAGGUAGUGAAAGCGUUCGGCUCAACCGGAUACACAUUACUUGAACUGCGAAGCUAGAGGACAAGAGAGGUCACUGGAAUUCCUAGUGUAGGAGUGAAAUCCGUAGAUAUUAGGAGGAACACCGAUGGCGUAGGCAGGUGACUGGCUUGUUCCUGACACUAAGGCACGAAAGCGUGGGUAGCAAACGGGAUUAGAUACCCCGGUAGUCCACGCCGUAAACGAUGGAUGCUA
rnacentral:rRNA from 1 species